AUGAAAUUUUGGCACAUGAUGUUGUUGACGAGGCAGGGGCUUGGAAAAGCAAGCUUGAACCAGCAUCUAGGGAGUUGUUUGACUUCUUGCCCAAAACCAUUCAGGAGCAGCUUUUGCUUGAAAGAGAUCCCCAUGGCAAUGUUCAGGUUGCGAAAAUUGAAACUGAGAAAAUUCUUAUUGCCAUGGUUGAAACUGAAUUGGAGAAGAGAAGAGCGGCGGGGAAGUAAUCUGCACAUUUCAGAGGCCAGUCUCUAG
rnacentral:rRNA from 1 species